rnacentral:rRNA from 1 species
AACGAACGCUGGCGGCAUGCCUAACACAUGCAAGUCGAACGAGACCUUCGGGUCUAGUGGCGCACGGGUGCGUAACGCGUGGGAAUCUGCCCUUCGGUUGGGAAUAACUGAGAGAAAUUUCAGCUAAUACCUUAUAAUGUCUUCGGACCAAAGAUUUAUCGCCGAGGGAUGAGCCCGCGUAGGAUUAGGUAGUUGGUGGGGUAAUGGCCUACCAAGCCGACGAUCCUUAGCUGGUCUGAGAGGAUGAUCAGCCACACUGGGACUGAGACACGGCCCAGACUCCUACGGGAGGCAGCAGUGGGGAAUAUUGGACAAUGGGCGAAAGCCUGAUCCACCAAUGCCGCGUGAGUGAUGAAGGCCUUAGGGUUGUAAAGCUCUUUUAACCGGGAUGAUAAUGACAGUACCGGGAGAAUAAGCUCCGGCUAACUCCGUG